ensembl:lncRNA
GGGAAAAGCGGAGACAUGACCUCAAACUGUACUUCUGCCUUCAGCCUGACAGCAUGAAUCUUCCCCUGCCCCCAUCCCUAAUGCCUGAUGUCUUCAUUGCUCAGUGCUGAAGAUGUGGUCAGUGAGGAACAUAUACAGCUGGGGAGAAAAGAGACAGUGACAGCUAACAGAAAUAGUCCAGGGGUCCCAGCAAAAGUGAUCUGCUUAUAAGCUGCUCCCUGUUCAACGUGGCUGAGUACCUUGGUGUAAUUUCCAGUUUGGAUCUUAAAAGGUAAAGCCAUAAAAAAGUCCAUAGACUGGGAAUGAGGACUUGUAUCACGGGAAACUAUAAAUGCUCCAAAAUAACAAACAGAAGGAAAAAAUUCUGGAGUGAAUUUUUGAAAUACAUAGGUCACUCCAAAAGUAAUGCCUCCUAUUUAUUUCCAUGGAUACUACAACAAAGAGCACAAUAACACUACUUGAUAGAACAAAUUCUCUGCUAUAAAAACACAAUUUUUUCAACAGUCACCACCAUUCACCGUGCAUUUUCAUCAGGGAUCAACAAAAGCCUGCAUGCCACGCUUAUGAAAAUCUGCACCAAUGGAGGUGACCCACUGCCGCUGCUGCUACUGCUGAAAUGCACCACCCAUCACCUCACUGUUCUCACUUCCACUGUUUGGUCUCCGUAACACGCAACAAGUAUCAGUGAAUGUCAGUGGGUGACAUUUUUUCCACAUGCAGGAAUUCAGUGACAUAACCUUGCUCCAUUGGCACUUCCAUGCCAGACACCAUUCUAUCAGACUGCCCCUCUGCUGCCAUCUAUUACAGGGCAACAAAAUGUAAUGGAAUACUGGUGGGAAGGUCCAACCUCUAUUGUGGUACCACUGCCUCUGACAUCAUGAGCCGACAUUAUAAUUUUGGGCGCAUUACUUUCAGAGCCACCCUUGUACUAGGCUCAACAAGUCUUCUGCUCAUACGUCUCUUGGAAAAAAAAACAAUUUAUGUUUAGGAGACGUGACCAAAAGUGGCAGCAAUUGUCUUGGAGACUGGAUUUUGGAGCUGUUAAAAACAUUUCAAUCAUCUGUAAAUUACUCGAGAAGUUGAAGUAAUCAAUUCAAUAAUAGUAGGUGCUGGCAGUGCUCUUGGCUUUGUUUUUGCACUGUUUUGGGGUAGGUGUGGAGAAGAGGGGAUAUCACACACUGAGGAACCACUAAAACCCUGUCUGCUGUAUGCAGCUCUGUAUUUCCCCUGAUGAUUGUGCAUGAACCUCAAACUGACUCCAGAAAAUUACAACUGCAGCUCAUCAGUUAAACUCAGUUUCCUGCCAUGACAAAGAACUGAACAGUCAUAACCAAAGGAAGAAAAAUUUGAGCUAUUUUGGGACAAGAAAAAGGCAAUGUGGCUUUUUUAAUGAGAAAGGCAUCUUCCAGUGAAGGAAACAGACUUUUGUGACAGAGCUGUGGAGCUGCUGUUUCUCUGGCAGACAGUUUCAGGCUGCAUUUCUGUUUAAUUGGCAUCAAGCCCAGCAUCAAGCCCAUCUUCAGAGCUACACUUUCCUCUGAGUUUUAAUUUGUACUUAAAAACUAUGCUCCAGUGGCUGAACUUCAUAUUCCCUCACCUACUGCUUUUUCUCUCAGAAAGAAACUGCACUCACUCAGGUGCCAUCACCAGGCUGUUCCUCACCACGUCUCCUCUGCUUCACUGCCGGCACUGCACCUGAGGGGACACACCCAGUCUUCAAGCAAUCAGACAGUUGACACAGAGGUGGUUUAAGUUUAACACAGAAGCUUACUAGGCACAUGAACGUGAAAAAAGUUUGCUCUCUUGACUCAUCUCACUACUGAGAUAGAAUUGACUAUCUCAAUCUGUCAGUUGCUCUUUAGCUGGGCAGUCUUUCAUAGGUUAUCAUGUGGUAUCACUGUUCCCACAGAAUGUGCCAUUUAAGUACAAAGAAGGUCGAGAAGGAAGUGGCAUCAGAUUUUCACAGCAUGAUGGAAGAAGUAUGCAUCACUGGUGGGGUCUGAUUGCUCUGCCUCAUGUGCACACCUAGAGGAUGGUAGGAAGGGGCAGUUACAUUCCACAGACACUCUUGCUAAGCAAGCGUAUCUUCAACAAGGAAAAAGUGUUUGUACGUCCUUAAUGAAGUAAAAACACCACGGCAUUAUGCAGAAAUCAUCACUGAAAUCUAAGAGGACACAACAAUCUAAUGAAGUCACUGUUCUUUGCCUGAAAAUGUUAGCCUAGCAUUGUGAUGUUUUGAUGGACAAUAUGUAAUGAUCAUUUGAGUAUCAUCUGUUCCAUUAAAAAAAAAAAAGAGUAGAAAGAGGAGAUGUUGUCGAGGUGUGGUCUAUUUGUAAGAUGCUAAAUGUACAUUUCACACAAUAGUACAUAAAAAUGUUAGAAGGGACUUCUUGAGGUCAUACAGCCCACGCUUCCAUUCAAAACAAGAUCAACAGGCAUAUACCAAUGCAGAAUAAGUAGUUUUGGACUCAUCCAUCUAGGUUCUGGAGACCUCCAAUGAUAGAGGUUACACAACGCUUUCAGGAAACUUUUCUGAUGCUGCAUUACUUUCUUAGUAGUAACGUAUUUAUUGAUAUGCUUCAGUUCAAGUUUCCCAUUUGCUUUGGUCCUGUGAUGUUGACUUCUCCCUUGAAGGAGAUAGGCAGAUAGGCAGUGCAAGAUCUCUGAACAGAAGCAACGUACUUACGGAUGGUAAGAACUUGUAGGGUCAAAGAAGUAAGAGCAGCUGUAACAACAGAGGCAAGUUACUUCGUAGAAGUCUUUGAUACAAGGUGGUGAUUGAACAUCACUCCUUACUAUCUAUCUCCUCUGCAGUCCCUCAGCCUGACUCAUCUAUACUCACUAUCAUACUAUUAUCUUUGACUACAGGAAGCUCAUGACACGAUGAAUAUGAAUUUAAGAAGUUAUCUGAUGGGAGAAGGCACAUGGCAACAUCUUAGAUAGCUGCAGUGUAAUAUUCUUAGGACAAUGACAACCUUGUUGCCCUGUUGAUUUGGGCAAAUCUAAUUUCUAGAAGCAAAAUCCACCUUAAAGAUGGAUAAGGAGGGUUUUAAGAACCACAAUACAUUUGUAUAUGUACAAAUGCACAUUUGUACAUGCAGGAAUAUUUGACAUUUCUCCAUCAUAGAACCACAGAAUCACUGACAUUGGAAAAGUCCUCUAAGCUCAUCCAGUUCAACCAUCCACCUAUCGCCAAUAUUUCCUACUAAACCAUGUCCCAUGUACAACACCUAAGCAUCCCUUGAACACUUCCAGGGAUGGUGACUCCACCACCUCCCUAGGCAGUCCAUUCCAGUGCCUGACCACUCUCUCAGAGAAGUAGUAUUUCCUAACGUCCAACCUGAAUCUCCCCUGGUGCAAAUUGAGGCCAUUCCCUCUAGUCCCAUUGCUAGUUACGUGGGAGAAGAGCCCAACCCUCACCUUUCACCACAGUCUCCC